UGGGUUUUGGGGGGUUUUGGGGCGGGAGGAGCACAAUUGGGUGGUUUUGGGCUGGAAAGGAGUGAAUUUGGGUGGUUUUGGGUAGAAAUGAGAACAUUUUGGGUUGGUUUUGGGUAAGAUAACUGCCGUUGGGUCAUUUUUGGGGUGGAGAAGAGCACAUUUGGGUUGGUUUUGGGAUGCAAAUGAUCACAUUUGGGUUGGUUUUGGGUAGAGAUGAGCACAUUUGGGUUGGUUUUGGGUCGAGAACAGCACGUUUUGGUUGGUUUUGGGUAGAGAAGAGCACAUUUGGGUUGGUUUUGGGUCGAGAACAGCACGUUUUGGUUGGUUUUGGGUAGAGAAGAGCACAUUUGGGUUGGUUUUGGGUAUGAUAACUGCUGUUGGGUUGGUUUUGGGUUGAGAAGAGCACAUUUUGGGUUGUUUUUUGGUGCGAUAACUGCCGUUGGGUCAUUUUUGGGGUGGAGAAGAGCACAUUUGGGUUGGUUUUGGGUCAAGAACAGCAUGUUUUGGUUGGUUUUGGGUAGAGAAAAGCACAUUUUUGUUAGUUUUGGGUCGAGAAGAGCACAUUUUGGGUGCGAUAACUGCCGUUGGGUCAUUUUUGGGGUGG
rnacentral:lncRNA from 1 species